GACACCUGAGCCCUGAACAUAAAACCCAUAUGGGUUCACACCCAUCUCUCGACCUACAAGGGACACAACCCUCGUGAAACACAUAACGAGCAGGCGUGAUAAUCACCAGAUAGCCCGAGGGCAACACCAAGAUACAAUCACGCCCUCCCGAAAUAUGAAACACAAACCCCACAACACAGAUGCACCACAACCCACACACAAGACACUCAGGACACUAAGAGGAGAGACACAUGAAUCCACUCAGGACACAAUAUACAACCCAAGACGAAGGGACCUGUGUGUCACCUAACAAUAAAGGUUGGAUAAGAGGCCUGUGAGCCUCAACACAUACUGAACACGAAUCACAACUGUUGUACACGAAACAUAUA